rnacentral:rRNA from 1 species
GAUGAACGCUGGCUACAGGCUUAACACAUGCAAGUCGAGGGGAAACGACGGGGAAGCUUGCUUCCCCGGGCGUCGACCGGCGCACGGGUGAGUAACGCGUAUCCAACCUGCCUCUGACUGAGGGAUAACCCGUCGAAAGUCGGCCUAAUACCUCAUGGCAUCGUCUGCGGGCAUCCAACGACGAUUAAAGAUUUCAUCGGUCAGGGAUGGGGAUGCGUCUGAUUAGCUUGUUGGCGGGGUAACGGCCCACCAAGGCUACGAUCAGUAGGGGUUCUGAGAGGAAGGUCCCCCACAUUGGAACUGAGACACGGUCCAAACUCCUACGGGAGGCAGCAGUGAGGAAUAUUAGUCAAUGGGCGGGAGCCUGAACCAGCCAAGUAGCGUGCAGGAUGACGGCCCUAUGGGUUGUAAACUGCUUUUAUGCGGGGAUAAGUGAGGGACGUGUCCUUCAUUGCAGGUACCGCAUGAAUAAGGACCGGCUAAUUCCGUG